rnacentral:lncRNA from 1 species
AUAAAUUAGAGUGUUCUCGUGCACAUGCAAGGUUUUCUGCUUAUAUCGACACAUCAGGGUCAAACUGUGGAAAACAGUCUUUUCCUACCAUCUUUCCUCAGCUCGUGGGUAUGAAGUUAGCAUGUCUUGGACUGCUUUACCUUAGAAAGUUUGACUUUCAGAACUGUUGUUUGAGUUUCGUAGAAAUCAUUCAAUGAAUCAUGGUGUGGGAUUAGUACAGAAUCUGUAAUAAUUCUGAGGUGGCCCCAGUCAUCCUCCCAACAUUUUGUACUAUGCGUUUGUGAGAGGCAGCAUUGUUGGUAUUGACAGUCAUAGGAAUCACAAUAUUGACCAACUCUGGAAGACAUUGGAAGUGUUGUAGAUCCUACAAUAUCAAGUAUUCAGCCAAGAUUUGGUCCAACAAGCAUGGUGUCCAAUUAAUGUGCAAAUUUACUUUAAUCAUUAAUAAAUAUAUGGCAUAGAAUUGCUUUAAAAUAAAUUCCUUUAUGAUUUAUUAUCCGCAAA